rnacentral:rRNA from 1 species
AUGGGCCCGCGUCCGAUUAGCUAGUUGGCGAGGUAAUGGCUCACCAAGGCUACGAUCGGUAGCUGGUCUGAGAGGAUGAUCAGCCACACUGGAACUGAAACACGGUCCAGACUCCUACGGGAGGCAGCAGUGAGGAAUAUUGCGCAAUGGGGGAAACCCUGACGCAGCAACGCCGCGUGGGUGAAGAAGGCCUUCGGGUCGUAAAGCCCUUUCGGACGGGACGAACGCUUUGCGGUGAAAGCCGCGAAGUCUGACGGUACCGUAGGAAGAAGCACCGGCUAACUCCGUGCCAGCAGCCGCGGUAAUACGGAGGGUGCGAGCGUUGUUCGGAAUUACUGGGCGUAAAGCGCGUGUAGGCGGCCUUGCAAGUCAGGCGUGAAAGCCCUCGGCUUAACCGGGGAAGUGCGUCUGAAACUGCUUGGCUUGAGUACGGGAGAGGGAGGCGGAAUUCCCAGUGUAGAGGUGAAAUUCGUAGAUAUUGGGAGGAAUACCGGUGGCGAAAGCGGCCUCCUGGACCGAUACUGACGCUGAGACGCGAAAGCGUGGGGAGCAAACGGGAUUAGAUACCCCGGUAGUCCUAGCCCUAAACGAUG